AGCAGUAGCCGCGGUAAUACGUAGGGUGCGAGCGUUAAUCGGAAUUACUGGGCGUAAAGCGUGCGCAGGCGGUUGUGUAAGACAGGUGUGAAAUCCCCGGGCUUAACCUGGGAACUGCGCUUGUGACUGCACAGCUAGAGUAUGGCAGAGGGGGGUGGAAUUCCACGUGUAGCAGUGAAAUGCGUAGAGAUGUGGAGGAACACCGAUGGCGAAGGCAGCCCCCUGGGCCAAUACUGACGCUCAUGCACGAAAGCGUGGGGAGCAAACAGGAUUAGAUACCCCUGUAGUCCCUGUCUCUUAUAC
rnacentral:rRNA from 1 species